rnacentral:rRNA from 1 species
UACGUAGGGUGCGAGCGUUAAUCGGAAUUACUGGGCGUAAAGCGUGCGCAGGCGGUUUAUUAAGACAGGCGUGAAAUCCCCGGGCUUAACCUGGGAACUGCGUUUGUGACUGGUAGGCUAGAGUAUGGCAGAGGGGGGUGGAAUUCCACGUGUAGCAGUGAAAUGCGUAGAGAUGUGGAGGAACACCGAUGGCGAAGGCAGCCCCCUGGGCCAAUACUGACGCUCAUGCGCGAAAGCGUGGGGAGCAAACAGG